GCUCAGUAACACGUGGAUAACCUGCCCUUGGGACCGGAAUAACCCCGGGAAACUGGGGAUAAUUCCGGAUAACGCACAUAUGCUGGAAUGCUUUAUGCGUAAAAUGGAUUCGUCUGCCCAAGGAUGGGUCUGCGGCCUAUCAGGUAGUAGUAGGUGUAAUGGACCUACUAGCCGACAACGGGUACGGGUUGUGAGAGCAAGAGCCCGGAGAUGGAUUCUGAGACAUGAAUCCAGGCCCUACGGGGCGCAGCAGGCGCGAAAACUUUACAAUGCGGGAAACCGUGAUAAGGGGACACCGAGUGCCAGCAUCAUAUGCUGGCUGUCCGGGUGUGUAAAAUACACCUGUUAGCAAGGGCCGGGCAAGACCGGUGCCAGCCGCCGCGGUAACACCGGCGGCCCGAGUGGUGAUCGUUAUUAUUGGGUCUAAAGGGUCCGUAGCCGGUUUGGUCAGUCCUCAGGGAAGUCUGAUAGCUCAACUAUUAGGCUGUCUGGGGAUACUGCCAGGCUUGGAACCGGGAGAGGUAAGAGGUACUACAGGGGUAGGAGUGAAAUCUUGUAAUCCCUGUGGGACCACCUGUGGCGAAGGCGUCUUACCAGAACGGGUUCGACGGUGAGGGACGAAAGCUGGGGGCACGAACCGGAUUAGAUACCCGGGUAGUCCCAGCCGUAAACGAUGCUCGCUAGGUGUCAGGCAUGGCGCGACCGUGUCUGGUGCCGCAGGGAAGCCGUGAAGCGAGCCACCUGGGAAGUACGGCCGCAAGGCUGAAACUUAAAGGAAUUGGCGGGGGAGCACAACAACGGGUGGAGCCUGCGGUUUAAUCGGACUCAACGCCGGGAAACUCACCAGAUAAGACAGCUGAAUGAUAGUCGGGCUGAAGACUCUACUUGACUAGCUGAGAGGAGGUGCAUGGCCGUCGUCAGUUCGUACUGUGAAGCAUCCUGUUAAGUCAGGCAACGAGCGAGACCACGCCAACAGUUGCUAGCUCGUCCUCCGGGAUGGAGAGGACACUGUUGGGACCGCCUCUGCUAAAGAGGAGGAAGAAUGGGCAACGGUAGGUCACAUGCCCCGAAUUUCUGGGCUACACCCGGCUACAAUGGGGGGGACAAUGGGAUCGACACCCAAAGGGGAAGGAAUCUCCUAAACCAUCCUUAUUUCGGAUGUGGGCUGCAAUCGCCACUUAAACUGGAACUUGAGAAACCGGUUCAAAAGGCCGGGGAAUAUUCCUGUCUUUGCAACCCGAUUUUCUAAA
rnacentral:rRNA from 1 species